rfam:Ruminococcus lactaris ATCC 29176 Scfld_02_43 genomic scaffold, whole genome shotgun sequence.
GAGUCUGUAGCUCAGCUGGAUAGAGCAACGGCCUUCUAAGCCGUAGGUCGUGGGUUCGAAUCCCCCCAGGCUCG